rnacentral:tRNA from 1 species
CACUACGAAGCUUAAAGCGUCAACCUUUUAAGUUGAAGUUAGAGGUGUAUAAACCUCCGUAGUGA